rnacentral:lncRNA from 1 species
GCAACACCGAGAGGGAGAAGAAGAGAGAAGAGGACUUCAAAACGAAGGGUUGGGCCAGAGUGGAAGAGAAAGAGGGGCGCAACAGCAAGAAGAAGGAAGCCAGGGCCGGACGGUCUGGUCCUGGGGAUCUCGAUGGCUUGGAGGAAACCCCCAUGUUGGGUCUGCUGUGACGCACAGAUGGCCGUGGACUUCCUUGGCUCUGGGAGUGAAAAGUGACUCACAGUUUUGGUAUCUCCUACGUAAGAGCUUUGGGGGGAUUCCUUGGCUCGCUGACAGGCAAAGCAGAACUGCAGCAGCGGUGAGGUGCAGCGCACGGUGAUUCCUUCCACCUGCCUCGCCGAGGAGGAUGUGCCGUCCUUGGGUUUGGCUUGAACAGCUUGCUGCUCUCCGAUGGCACGCAGAGGGAGAAUAAUUAAAAAGGCCAGCAUCACUUACUAAAACUCUCCCUCUCAAGUGGGUAAGAAAAAUUAAAAAAAAAAAAAGAUAGAAAUCCCCAGAAGAGAGAAAUCCACCUGCAGUUUGGAAGAAAGUUAUUCCAUGGUGCCUGAAGUGACUUCAACAGAAAAAGACACUCCGGCAGAUGGCAAAGGGCAGCAAGAAGGCCCCUCUUCUCCCACGACGACAUCUCACAACCGUACCGGGCUUUCCAAUUUCCAAGACCCGUACAUUCGCUACCUUGAGAUGGGUCAUGGUCACGAUGGUGGAGGCUCUUGAGGUCAGGGGCAGCUUCUCUGUGUAUCUUCCAGCAGCAGGAGAUUCUGGGAUCUCACUUCGUACCCGGUAAAUUGAACACUGAGAAAAAUCUGCUCGUCAUCGCACAAGGAACAGGUGUGCUUGUACCCAACUGAACUGAUGACCUAUGAAUGCUGAGAGAAGAUGUAACUUGAUCAGAAUAUCUGCCUUGUGAAAGAUCUGUCACUGUGUUUAAUCUGCCAAGGUAAUAGGUUUAAGUCAAACACCCCUGACAUAGCCAACCCACUAAAUUAUUAUAUUUGCAUUUUAUAUUGAACAUGCCUGUGAUAUUCUUUUGGGUAGAUGGAGCUGACAUAUUUGUAUGAUAAUAA